rnacentral:rRNA from 1 species
GCGCGAAAACUUUACAAUGCCGGCAACGGCGAUAAGGGGACCUCAAGUGCCAGCUUACAAAUCUGGCUGUCGUGAUGCCUAAAAAGCAUUGCAUAGCAAGGGCCGGGCAAGACCGGUGCCAGCC